UACCGUUAGUCGCGCUCGGUCUUUCCAGCUCGCUCGUUCGUCGUUCGCUUUGCCGGGGCGAUGCAUGGGGGUGGUGGUGGUGGUGCCGCCCCCCCCUCGGCUGCAUCGUAUUUAGUUACAUUUUGCUGUUGCUGUUGUUGUUGUUGCUGCUGCUGCUGGUGUAUUUUGCAUUGUUUUGUGCUGUGUUUUGUUUUGCUGCAGCUCUCGGGCCGUGACUUCGGGUUAUGUACUCGUACAAGCACACCGUUUUAUGAUGAUCGGCUCUCAGCCCGUCUCUCGUUCGCUGUUGUAUAUGACGUUGUGUGAGUGUGCAGCAGCAGCAGCAGCAGCAACAAUGCCAAGCCAUGUGAUUGUGCAAAGCAAAAAUUCCCUUGCAAAUAAGUGUGAAAAAAUCCCCCCGAAAGAGUCAAUCACAACAAACCAUCACACAUAAACGUUUCCGCUUCCGCUCUGUCAAACGCAACAAAAAGUGCCAUAGCCUACCACGAAGGGCGACACGCACAAACAGGCACGCUGCCACACAUUGGGUGCCACAUUCAUAAACAAUUAAGUGACACUUUGAGUGGAGUGAUAGGAAGCGAGCAUUUAACGCCAGCAAAAUUAUUGUGAUUGAGUUAACUUUGGCCGGACUUUGUUCAGCAAUCGAAUCGUUUGAGUGGAUUGCGGGGCGUAAAUGACUGAGUUAAUAUACGAUUCGAUACGGCAGUGGCUUAGUAAUUGGCAACGAAGUUGUUAGGUAAGGCAAGUGAUAAAGAAGAGAGAUUAAUCCAUAUGAUUAGACUGAUUUGACUGAUUGAGAGGAAUAUAGUAGUUAUAUUUCUACAUUGAGCAAAGUGACUCGUCCUUCAACAAUUGGUCACCGGUUGGCUAUCCACCAAACUAUAGGCGUCCACCAAACUAUCACAGGCGCAACGAUUAUUCAGAUCGAUAUAAUUAUGGGGGUGAGAGAUAUGUGAGGUAU